AUAGGUUCACCAUCACAGCUCUAGCCCCUUCAUCAGAUGAACUUGGGGAACCAUCAAAAAUUUUUAACCAGGAAUCACCCAAGGAAUCAAUAGAACUGCCUGCAAGUAAUUCUCAAUUUUAUUUGGAAUUCCUUCAUGUUUUAUUCAAGCACAGCAGUCAAUCCGGAGUUUGUAGAAUUUGAAAACUUCACAUUUGAGGCUUUUGUAAGAAUUCUGCAUUGAACAAAGCUGUCUGAACCCCAUGUUGAAAUGAGAUUCACCUGUCAGUCUGGACAGCUUCCCUGCGUUGAACAGCAAGAGACUGGGAUGCUUUGCCUUGGACAGCAAACUGUCUUAUCUGAA